rnacentral:rRNA from 1 species
AUUGAACGCUGGCGGCAGGCCUAACACAUGAAAGUCGAGCGGAUGAAGGGAGCUUGCUCCUGGAUUCAGCGGCGGACGGGUGAGUAAUGCCUAGGAAUCUGCCUGGUAGUGGGGGAUAACGUCCGGAAACGGGCGCUAAUACCGCAUACGUCCUGAGGGAGAAAGUGGGGGAUCUUCGGACCUCACGCUAUCAGAUGAGCCUAGGUCGGAUUAGCUAGUUGGUGGGGUAAAGGCCUACCAAGGCGACGAUCCGUAACUGGUCUGAGAGGAUGAUCAGUCACACUGGAACUGAGACACGGUCCAGACUCCUACGGGAGGCAGCAGCGGGGAAUAUUGGACAAUGGGCGAAAGCCUGAUCCAGCCAUGCCGCGUGUGUGAAGAAGGUCUUCGGAUUGUAAAGCACUUUAAGUUGGGAGGAAGGGCAGUAAGUUAAUACCUUGCUGUUUUGACGUUACCAACAGAAUAAGCACCGGCUAACUUCGUG